GACGAACGCUGGCGGCGUGCUUAACACAUGCAAGUCGAACGGAAAGGCCCUGCUUUUGUGGGGUUCUCGAGUGGCGAACGGGUGAGUAACACGUGAGUAACCUGCCCUUGACUUUGGGAUAACUUCAGGAAACUGGGGCUAAUAUCGGAUAGGAGCUCCUGCUGCAUGGUGGGGGUUGGAAAGUUUCGGCGGUUGGGGAUGGACUCGCGGCUUAUCAGCUUGUUGGUGGGGUAGUGGCUUACCAAGGCUUUGACGGGUAGCCGGCCUGAGAGGGUGACCGGCCACAUUGGGACUGAGAUACGGCCCAGACUCCUACGGGAGGCAGCAGUGGGGAAUAUUGCACAAUGGGCGGAAGCCUGAUGCAGCAACGCCGCGUGCGGGAUGACGGCCUUCGGGUUGUAAACCGCUUUCGCCUGUGACGAAGCGUGAGUGACGGUAAUGGGUAAAGAAGCACCGGCUAACUACGUG
rnacentral:rRNA from 1 species